rnacentral:rRNA from 1 species
UAUAGUCAAGCAACUAAGCGCAUACGGUGGAUGCCUUGGCAGUCAGAGGCGAUGAAAGACGUGGAAGCCUGCGAUAAGGUUCGGGGAGCUGGCAAACAAGCUGUGAUCCGGGCAUUUCUGAAUGGGGAAACCCACCGACUUUCGGGUCGGUAUCUUGCACUGAAUACAUAGGUGUAAGAGGCGAACCGGGGGAACUGAAACAUCUAAGUACCCCGAGGAAAAGAAAUCAACCGAGAUUCCCUAAGUAGCGGCGAGCGAACGGGGAUUAGCCCUUAAGCUAGACAACUGGUAGGAGAAGGCUCUGGAAAGUGCCGCCAUAGUGGGUGAUAGCCCCGUAUCCGAAACCUGAGUCUGGUGAAAUCGAGUAGGACGGGACACGUGAUAUCCUGUCUGAACAUGGGGGGACCAUCCUCCAAGGCUAAAUACUCCUGACUGACCGAUAGUGAACCAGUACCGUGAGGGAAAGGCGAAAAGAACCCCUGUGAGGGGAGUGAAAUAGAUCCUGAAACCGUAUGCGUACAAGCAGUCGGAGCGGACUUGUUCCGUGACGGCGUACCUUUUGUAUAAUGGGUCAGCGACUUAUGUUCAGUGGCGAGGUUAACCGUUUAGGGGAGCCGUAGGGAAACCGAGUCUGAAUAGGGCGAUUUAGUCGCUGGGCAUAGACCCGAAACCGGGCGAUCUAUCCAUGAGCAGGUUGAAGGUGCCGUAACAGGCACUGGAGGACCGAACCCACUGUCGUUGAAAAGCCAGGGGAUGACUUGUGGAUCGGAGUGAAAGGCUAAUCAAGCCCGGAGAUAGCUGGUUCUCCCCGAAAGCUAUUUAGGUAGCGCCUCGGACGAAUACCACAGGGGGUAGAGCACUGUUUCGGCUAGGGGGUCAUCCCGACUUACCAACCCGAUGCAAACUCCGAAUACCUGUGAGUACUAUCCGGGAGACACACGGCGGGUGCUAACGUCCGUCGUGAAGAGGGAAACAACCCAGACCGUCAGCUAAGGUCCCCAAAUCCUGGUUAAGUGGGAAACGAUGUGGGAAGGCUCAGACAGCUAGGAGGUUGGCUUAGAAGCAGCCAUCCUUUAAAGAAAGCGUAAUAGCUCACUAGUCGAGUCGGCCUGCGCGGAAGAUGUAACGGGGCUCAAACUGGUACCGAAGCUGCGGCUGCAUACUUUGUAUGCGGGGUAGGGGAGCGUUCUGUAAGCCGAUGAAGGUGUGUUGAGAAGCAUGCUGGAGGUAUCAGAAGUGCGAAUGCUGACAUGAGUAACGACAAUGCGGGUGAAAAACCCGCACGCCGGAAGACCAAGGGUUCCUGCGCAACGCUAAUCGGCGCAGGGUGAGUCGGCCCCUAAGGCGAGACCGAAAGGUGUAGUCGAUGGGAAACGGGUUAAUAUUCCCGUACCGGACAUGAUUGCGAUGGGGGGACGGAGAAGGCUAGGUGAGCCAGGCGUUGGUUGUCCUGGUGAAAGUGAGUAGGCUUGCGUCUUAGGUAAAUCCGGGACGCUUUAAGGCCGAGACACGAAACGAACGGACCACGGUCCGGAAGUCAUUGAUGCCAUGCUUCCAGGAAAAUCUUCUAAGCUUCAGGCUAUUCGAGACCGUACCCCAAACCGACACAGGUGGUCAGGUAGAGAAUACCAAGGCGCUUGAGAGAACUCGGGUAAAGGAACUAGGCAAAAUGGUGCCGUAACUUCGGGAGAAGGCACGCCGGCGUAGGGUAAGGGAACUUGCUUCCUCAGCCCGAACCGGUCGAAGAUACCAGGCCCCUGCGACUGUUUAUUAAAAACACAGCACUGUGCAAACACGAAAGUGGACGUAUACGGUGUGACGCCUGCCCGGUGCCGGAAGGUUAAUUGAUGGGGUUAGGCUUCGUCCGAAGCUCUUGAUCGAAGCCCCGGUAAACGGCGGCCGUAACUAUAACGGUCCUAAGGUAGCGAAAUUCCUUGUCGGGUAAGUUCCGACCUGCACGAAUGGCGUAACGAUGGGGGCGCUGUCUCUACCCGAGACUCAGUGAAAUUGAAAUCGCCGUGAAGAUGCGGUGUAUCCGCGGCUAGACGGAAAGACCCCGUGAACCUUUACUAUAGCUUCACAGUGAACUUUGAUGUUGCCUGUGUAGGAUAGCUGGGAGGCUUUGAAGUGGGAACGCCAGUUCUCAUGGAGCCAACCUUGAAAUACCAGCCUGGCAUCAUUGGCGUUCUCACUCAGGUCCGUGAUCCGGAUCGAGGACACUGUGUGGUGGGUAGUUUGACUGGGGCGGUCUCCUCCCAAAGCGUAACGGAGGAGCACAAAGGUACCCUCAGCACGGUCGGACAUCGUGCAAUGAGUGCAAGAGCAUAAGGGUGCUUGACUGCGAGACAGACACGUCGAGCAGGUACGAAAGUAGGUCAUAGUGAUCCGGUGGUUCUGUAUGGAAGGGCCAUCGCUCAACGGAUAAAAGGUACUCCGGGGAUAACAGGCUGAUACCGCCCAAGAGUUCACAUCG